rnacentral:lncRNA from 1 species
UAAGCUGAAAUAUUUUGCAUUAUGAAGAAUUAAAAGGAAAACAAAGAUUAGGAAUUCUGUAGGAAGAGGUUAGAACACUUGCCUUAAGCAAAUUUGAUUCCCAAAUGGGGGGAGUUGAUGCAAAACCUCAAUCAAAGCUUCUUCUUCAAUUCCUCUUCUUCUUCUUCUUCUUCUUCCCUUCUCUUCUCUUCUUAAACUCACGUUGGCUGCAGUAUCUGAAGGUUACAUUUAGUUUCUCCUUUAAUCUCUUAUUUAAUUACUUUUGGUUAACACAAGGGUUGCAAAGUUGCAAGGUGGCAAGCAUGCAUGAAAAAUGCUAGGU